rnacentral:lncRNA from 1 species
CCUAAUCUAUCUAACCCAUGAAUCACAAGGUGACUACUCACUAAUCUCCAUAAGAAACCUCCAUAAGAAACCUUAAACGCAUGUAAGGAUCAAGGCUAAUCAUGUUAACGAACAAGAGAAAUACAAAUAUAAGAUGAAGUACUUCCUUAGAUUAUCAAAAGAUUCAAGCUUUUACAAGUUUAGACAAAGUCUUGAGAGAAAAUGAGAUAAGAAUAAGAUUUUUAGGUCUAAAUCUAUUUAUAGAGGUCUAAAACUCGUGUUGGUUUGAUUGAAUUAAACCAAGUCAAACCGGAAUAAACCGGUCAACAUUUUGAAAUCGCAUCUUGGCUUCUCCAUCUCGACUGAACCGCGGACUGCCCACCUCCGCGACGUCUGGCCGCGGUGUCACCUCAUAUGAACUCGACUCUCUGCCGUGAAUCCCCGGAUGGCUCUCUCCCGCGUCGUAUACCGCGGGUUGCUCUAAGCCGCCUCCGUCCUCCGCGGUUCUCCCUGGAACUUCUCUGCCACUAAACUGCGGCUCGCCUUAACCUGCGGUGGUCAUCCGCGUCUUGAUCUUCCAACACUGGCUCGAUUCGUGAAAAAACCACAGCAAGAAAGCUCCAAAUCAAACUUCUUCGACGAGUCUUUGCUCCACCUCGUGUUAACCGUCGCGGCCAAGCUUCUUCGUUCUCGCCGUAACCGGAGACGUCGCAGAUCAGUUCAUCUACGCCGCUUAUCUCCACCACGGAAGCUCAUGUUCAGGCCUGUCUCUGCUCCUCUGUUGCCGUCGUCACCGUGGUCUCAGCCAAUCGCCGGUGUCACGUCUCUCGCAGGUGAAAGCUUGAGGAGCAAUAAUGACCAACUCUUGGCCUUUUGCAAAACAGGUCCUCAACUUCUGGUUCUUUACAACUCGGCCCCAAACUUCAAAAAUAGCAGAAACGUCCUUAAUUUCUCCCCUUCACUUUGAUUGUGACAAAUAGACCCGCGAGUAUUCUGUCUUUUGCACCAUUGGUCCCUGCAUUUUCUUCUUAUUUUGUUAUGGCCCCAGCAGUUUCUAAAUUGCGUAAAUAACCCUCCAAUGUCUCCCCAAAACUUCUAAUUGGGCAUUCCAAACCCUAAC